rnacentral:rRNA from 1 species
CACGUAGGCGGAUACUUAAGUCAGGGGUGAAAUCCCGGGGCUCAACCCCGGAACUGCCUUUGAUACUGGGUAUCUCGAGUCCGAGAGAGGUGAGUGGAAUUCCGAGUGUAGAGGUGAAAUUCGUAGAUAUUCGGAGGAACACCAGUGGCGAAGGCGGCUCACUGGCUCGGUACUGACGCUGAGGUGCGAAAGCGUGGGGAGCAAACA